AGCAAGCAAGUGAUAACGAAGAAUAAGAAGAUUCAAUAAUCGAUUAGAUGAGAAGAAUAAGAUAAAUAUAUAGAUACAUCAAAUUGGGUUUUUUCUAAACUUUUUAAUCUUAUUAUUCAUCUGGAUUUCAAUCUUUAAUGGUGGAAAACGAAGGUUGUCUAUUCAAACGAUAUGAUUUAGUCGAUUAAAGUGACGAUUAUCGGUCUUCCUGUAUCUGGUUUGACAUGAAUGAAUUUAAUUACAAAUGUGCUAGAAAAUUGUUAAUGGAGCGGAUGGAAGUUGUCUUUGAAAUCCUAGUGCAGAACAUUAUGUGAGCCUAAUGUGUGAAGUUAAUUCUGGAUGAAAUAAGGAUACCGCUGAAGUCAUGAGGAAAUGAAACAAAGUUACAGUAUGGGGAAGUUCACCGGUGGUUGGAACUAAAUUAGCCUACAUAUGAUGUUGAUUUGGCGGUGGUACAUAUCAAUACGUACUGGGUUUUUACUCGAUACAUAUCCAUAUGUAUUGUAGUUUCACUUGGUACAAGUCGAUAUAUACUGGUUUUCAAGUACAUGUUCGAAACCAAGAAGACAUUCCUAAACAUUAUGAGACAUCCUAAAGAGUUAAGAAGUACAUUUGGUUCUUGAGAGAGAGAGAGACAGUUGUUGCAAGUUCUCUAGUAAAUGAAUGUAUUGUUCGCCUAAAGCCAAACAGUGGAAGGAGGAUUUAUCGAUCCAUGCAGGCUUGAUGAGUACCGAGGAAGAUGCAGUUCUUCCACCCAUCUGAGUCAGGCCUCAACCAGGAAGGCGAAGAAGAAUUGCAUCAAAGUGCAUGAGAGAAGAGUAAAAACCAUGUUAUAUUUCAAAUUGUGGUUUGAAAAAGCUCAAAUUCAAUAAAUAACAAUAACUGUAGCUAUGGACGUUGGAGAUACAACAAACAAGUCAUUGAGGUUAAAGAAUUUGCAGGCAUCAAGGAUGGGAGAGACAGGUGGAAUUAUGUCAUCAACUUGAAGAGUCUGAUACUCAGUACAUAUCAAUAUGUACUGAAGUUAUCACUCAACACGUAUCAAUAUGUACUAAAGUUGGCUAAGUUAUAUUUCAGGCAUAUCAAUAUAUACCACGCUUACAUAAUAUGUACUAAAGUUGGUUGAGGGAUAUUUGUGGCAUAAUUUUCUUUACGCCAGGUUUUACAGUACAAGAAAAUAUGUAUUGCCAGUAUAUAUGUCUCCAUACUCUUUUCUUAGUCUUUUAUGCUUAGUUGAUACUAGUAUGUAGCAGUCUU